UGGGGAAUAUUGCACAAUGGAGGGAACUCUGAUGCAGCGACGCCGCGUGAGUGAUGAAGGAAUUCGUUUCGUAAAACUCUGUUCUAUGGGAAGAAAAGGACUGUACCAUAGGAGAAAGCUCCGGCUAAAUACGUGCCAGCAGCCGCGGUAAUACGUAUGGAGCGAGCGUUGUCCGGAAUUAUUGGGCGUAAAGGGUGCGCAGGCGGCUUUACAAGUUGGAUGUGAAAUAUUGUGGCUCAACCACAAACGUGCAUCCAAAACUGCAAAGCUUGAGUUAAGGAGAGGUAAGUGGAAUUCCUGGUGUAGCGGUGGAAUGCGUAGAUAUCAGGAGGAAUACCGGUGGCGAAGGCGGCCACCUGGACCGGUAUUGACGCUGAGGUGCGAAAGCGUGGGGAGCAAACAGG
rnacentral:rRNA from 1 species